UGUGCCAGCCGCCGCGGUAAUACAGAGGGUGCAAGCGUUAAUCGGAAUUACUGGGCGUAAAGCGCGCGUAGGUGGUUCGUUAAGUUGGAUGUGAAAUCCCCGGGCUCAACCUGGGAACUGCAUCCAAAACUGGCGAGCUAGAGUAUGGUAGAGGGUGGUGGAAUUUCCUGUGUAGCGGUGAAAUGCGUAGAUAUAGGAAGGAACACCAGUGGCGAAGGCGACCACCUGGACUGAUACUGACACUGAGGUGCGAAAGCAUGGGGAGCAAACAGGAUUA
rnacentral:rRNA from 1 species